GGGGAUAUGGCGGAAUUGGCAGACGCACUAGCUUCAGGGGCUAGCGGUAGUAAUACCAUGAGAGUUCAAAUCUCUCUAUCCCCA
rnacentral:tRNA from 6 species